rnacentral:tRNA from 1 species
CCUUCAAUAGCUCAGCUGGUAGAGUGGAGGACUGUAGUUGACUCUACUAGGAAACAUCCUUAGGUCGCUGGUUCUAUUCCAGCUCAAAGGA